rnacentral:rRNA from 1 species
AUUGAACGCUGGCGGCAGGCCUAACACAUGCAAGUCGAACGAGUGGCGGACGGGUGAGUAAUGUCUGGGAAACUGCCCGAUGGAGGGGGAUAACUUCUGGAAACGGUAGCUAAUACCGCAUACCAUCGGAUGUGCCCAGAUGGGAUUAGCUAGUAGGUGGGGUAACGGCUCACCUAGGCGACGAUCCCUAGCUGGUCUGAGAGGAUGACCAGCCACACUGGAACUGAGACACGGUCCAGACUCCUACGAGAAGCAGCAAUGAGGAAUAUUGCACAAUGGGCGCAAGCCUGAUGCAGCCAUGCCGCAUGUAUGAAGAAGGCCUUCGGGUUGUAAAGAACUUUCAGCGAGGAGACGUUACACGCAGAAGAAGCACCGGCUAACUCCGUGCCAGCGGCCGCGGUAAUAC